rnacentral:rRNA from 1 species
UAAGGAAUAUUGGACAAUGGCCGCAAGGCUGAUCCAGCCAUGCCGCGUGCAGGAAGAAGGCGCUAUGCGUUGUAAACUGCUUUUGAACCAGAGAAAACCCUUUUACGUGUAAGAGGCUGAUAGUAUGGUUAGAAUAAGCAUCGGCUAACUUCGUGCCAGCAGCCGCGGUAAGACGAAGGAUGCAAGCGUUAUCCGGAUUCAUUGGGUUUAAAGGGAGCGUAGGCGGACUUAUAAGUCAGUGGUGAAAUCUCCUUGCUUAACAAGGAAACUGCCAUUGAUACUGUAGGUCUAGAGUACAUUUGCUGUGGGCGGAAUAUGACAUGUAGUGGUGAAAUACUUAGAUAUGUCAUAGAACACCGAUUGCGAAGGCAGCUCACAAAAAUGUAACUGACGCUGAGGCUCGAAAGUGCGGGGAUCAAACAGGAUUAGAUACCCCUGUAGUCC